rnacentral:rRNA from 1 species
AGCAUAUCAAUAAGCGGAGGAAAAGAAACCAACAGGGAUUGCCCCAGUAACGGCGAGUGAAGCGGCAACAGCUCAAAUUUGAAAUCUGGCUCCUUCGGGGUCCGAGUUGUAAUUUGCAGAGGAUGCCUCGGGUACGGGUUCCUUCCGAGUUCCCUGGAACGGGACGCCAUAGAGGGUGAGAGCCCCGUCUGGUCGGAUACCCAGCCCGUGUGAGGCUCCCUCGACGAGUCGAGUAGUUUGGGAAUGCUGCUCUAAUGGGAGGUAUACUCCUUCCAAAGCUAAAUACCGGCUAGAGACCGAUAGCGCACAAGUAGAGUGAUCGAAAGAUGAAAAGCACUUUGAAAAGAGAGUCAAAUAGCACGUGAAAUUGUUGAAAGGGAAGCGCUCGCUACCAGACUUGGGCCCGGCGGUUCAACCAGCGCCACGCGCUGGGGCACUCCGUCGGCCCAGGCCAGCAUCAGCUUUCCGUCGGGGGCAAAGGCGUUGGGAAUGUGGCUCUCCUUCGGGGGAGUGUUAUAGCCCGGCGCGUCAUACCCUUCGGGGGGCUGAGGUACGCGCUCCGCAAGGAUGCUGGCGUAAUGGUAGCUAACGACCCGUCUUGAAACACGGACCAAGGAGUCAACCUUAUGUGCAAGUGCCCGGGCGUAAAACCCCAGCGCGGAAUGAAAGUGAACGUAGGUGAGAGCUUCGGCGCAUCACCGACCGAUCCUGAUGUCCUCGGACGGAUUUGAGUGAGAGCAUAUAGGGUUGGACCCGAAAGAAGAUGAACUAUGCGUGUGUAGGGUGAAGCCAGAGGAAACUCUGGUGGAGGCUCGCAGCGGUUCUGACGUG